AAAAUGCUGCGCUACGAGGUCAUAAAGCAGCGGGGCACGCAAGUUAUCACCCUUCACACCUCUUCCGAAUCCAUUCCAGCAACGUUUGUGUGCGGCGAGGUGCGGCUCCUGCGAAAAAAGGCCUUUAAAGGCAGCUUCUUCACCCCUGUCGUCUCUACCAACUAUGUCCUGCUUGUCUUUCCCAGCUCCUGCGCACCGGGCGGCGGACAGGCGACGGCACUGUCAUCCUCGCUCGACGCGUCAAGUAGCGGUGGUGGCGGUGUCGAUGCCAGUGUCUCCACCUUGACAUUGGAGGCACAGUCGUGCAUCAGCGCGUUUCUUGGGCAGAUGGAACACAUUCCGUUCUCCGUGGCUGACGCGGCAGCGUGCAGCUUUUCGGGGUGCGCAAUCGUCGUUCUCGCUUGCCACAGCAUGCAGGAUGUUCUGUCUGUGCUGCAAGUGUGCACCGAAGUCGCGGGUCAGGGCAACGACGUGCGGACGAGCUCCAUGUACAUCAAGGGAUUCCCAUGCCUCGAGGGUGCACCUACGACGGUUGACGCGCAGGUUCUCACCUCGUACUAUUAUAUCCCCACGUGCCCUAUGUGCGGCGACAGGCUCGAGUGCACCAUCUCCGGCUACGGCUCGCAGACGCCUCUGUGCACGUGUGCGCAGAGCGGCAGCGCCAGCCAGUGCACCUGCUUCCUGUGCUCUUCAUGUCACCUGUGCCGGCGCUUUGCCGACUCGCUGGAGUACGCCCAACAGCAGCCAACUGCGUCCGCUGCCAUCAAGUGCGAGGCCUGCGCGAAGGCAGGGGACCCGUGGAUAUGCCUUAUUUGCGGCUACGUCGGCUGCAGCCGCUAUCAGGCCAUGCAUGCCAAGGAUCACUGUGUAGCUCAGCAGCACUUCUUUUCGAUGAAUCUGCUGACGCAGCAGAUUUGGGACUACGACGGUGACUGCUUUGUCCACCGCGUCGUCAUCCUGCUGGACUCCAGCACGGGAACCUCCACGUGGAUGCAGUUCCCUGGCCGAGACGAGCCGAUGCUUGACGACGUCGUCGCCGGCGAGAGCGCCGCGAUGGCAGCCGCCGUCGGCGACUCGCCAGAGGCGUGGAAGGCAGAAAAGAAGAGCAUCUCGGCCAAGUACGACAAGAAGCUCACCUCAUCGCAUGCGCAGUAUGCGAUGGUGAUCAAGAGCGAGCUGGAUGCGAAGCGAGCCCUAUACGAGUCUCAGCUAGCCCGAGAAGCAGGCAGCGGCGAUGACAAUGAAGAGGGACUGGAAGAGACCGAGCUCGGCAGAGGCGCCGCCAGCACCCGUGCCGAGGAACUGGAGCGGUGCGAGUACAUAGACCUGGCAACCGCAUUUGAGCCGCUGGAGUCGGUAAUGAUGGACCUCGGUGAAAAGCGCCGCAAGACGACGGCUCUGCUGUACGCCGUGAAAAAUCUGAAGCACGAGCUGGACACACGGGGCGAGGAGACGACGCGCCUCGAGAAGCAGCUGGAGAGCUGCAAGACGGCACUGCGAAGUGUCAUCCAGCAAAACGUAGCGACGGAUCUGCGACUGAGCAGCAGUAUACGGGAGCUGAAGGAGACCCUGCAGGACAUUGCGCUGAACGCCGAAACGCAGCGCCGCCUCGCCGCACAACUUGGAGAACAGGGCGUAUCGCGUGUGGUGCUGGUCGGCGGCAGCGGCAGCGCCGGGAAAGCGCGGAACGGCGCUGCGGCCGCCGGGCGAAGGUCGAACGAAAAAGCGCCGCCAAGCGAUGCCGCGAAGUGAAGUGACAAGUGCGCAAGUGCGAAGGAAUGUCAAAAUCCUUCGAUUCUCAGGAGGGGGCUUCUCGUCUGCGUGUCGUUUCGUGUUUCCUUUUGUUUUUUUCAAGGUCUGCCAUGGUGGUGAGUGUGAUCUCCGUUGCACCUGCGCCGUCCCUCCAGCACCAUCGUGAGGGCACCUUUGUUUUUCUUUGUGGGCAGGCUGACGUUUCGAGUUGCAAGCGACCCAGUGGACUUGCGGUGUUUGAGGAUGCAUGCCCACGCCCUCGUGUACGGAAGCACGUGCAUGCUCGCCGGUGUGUUGGGUGAAUUGGUGGCUGCAUCUGACAACGCGCUUCUUCCUGUUUCGCACUUAUCUUCCUUCCCCGCCAUUGGCGUAGGUGUCCAGCUCCGCUCUCCUCGUCAUGUGAGCCAUGCUUCUGGAAUGGAUGCCUGUCCGCGCACUGACGCCUCUCCCGUGUUUUACUACGCAACUCUUCGUUGUUCAUUGUUUCUGUGUGCCGACGCUAUCUCUCUCUCUGCGCCACCGCAACGGCACCUCGCGGCUUUAUAAAG
rnacentral:misc_RNA from 1 species